CCAAUUUUUCAGUGUAUUUCUAGAGCUUUGCGACUGUGUACAUUAGUGAACUUAGUACAUCUUUUAUUUCAAAAGAGCAAGGAAAAUUAUGUCUUCUUUAAAAAAACAUCUUACUCCUGCAGUCUGUCUGGAGUGCUUUAUCAAAUUUGAAGGGGUUUGAUGUACAUUACACUGAUUAUUUCAGUAGUUCGCAGUUAAUCGUAAUCCUGUAUAGACGAUAGUGUAAACGUGUGGCUUGCUGUCCUGGGCAAGAGCUCGAGGCUUGACUUGAGAUCGAAUGCUGGAUUAGUAUUUAUGGGACAGAUAGGAGGAAAUGGGGAGGUGGUGGGAUGCCGGAAACUCUCAUUGCUAUUAGAGGAAAGAAAGACAAGAGGAAAAGGACAGGAAUGAAGGAAAGAGAGGAAUAGAGCCACACACAGGAGGAGAGUGAAUGUCAUCCAAGUCUUUGACCUUUUUGAAUAUCAUACCACGCAAACAAACAAACUCAUGAGAAUUUGCAUUACACUGAGCACACUGCCCAGCAUGUGCCUGAACAGUGAAUGACAGCAGGAUUCAGUCUCCUCUUCAUGCUAAUUCCUCUAUCGCAGUCUGCAUCCUGGCAUCGAUGUACUGUACCAUCAAUCCAUGCCAUUGACAUGCACACACACUGCAGCUGUCCAUCAACUUCCAGUCACAGAUGUGCCCCCCUGAAACAAGCAGACUUUAGGGAUCUCAAAUCUCUACCAGAGUGGUGGAAAAUGUGGCCUCACUUACCAAGGAGCCUGGAGAGAUGGGCAGAGAGGUGGUGUACACACCUUGUGCUUAAUAUGUCUCCUCUCAGCAACUAUUGCUUCAUGGGGUCCAGGUAAUGGGCCCCAUAGGUGAUUCUAGACCCCAAUGAGUGGGACUUCAGCCCUGCUGUCUUUCAUCUCAGCCUCCCUAAAAUGCUUUGUCUCUCAACCAAUGGCUGUUGGGGCAGGACAUUCUGACGGUUCGAACAACAGCAGAUGAGGGGCGUAUGCGGAAAGCUGUUUUAAAGACAUUGUUUAUUUUGUAAUUCCGUUUGAUUGCACAAAUGUCUGAGAAAUUACAUACUUCAGCUUAAAGCUCACUCACCCUGUCUGAUUGGUGUAAUGCAAGUGGCUAAAACUAGUAAUCAAAAAGUUGCUGGUUCCAGCCCCGUAAAGAGCAAGACAUGCUAACUAUCAUAACUUGUUCCCUCAAGUUGGUCACUUUGGAGAAAAAAGUUAAUAGCUAUAGGGGCUUUUCCACUGCACGGUACAAAUCGACUCAACUCGACUCUGCUCGCUUUUUUGGAGUUUUCCACUGUGGAUAGUACCUGGUACCUGAUCACUGAUUGGUCAAGGAGAAUCGUCACUACCAGCGUCAAUGGAUUUCAGACACGCGACAUCAAAACUAGUUUUAAAGUUAGCAACAGUGAUAAGAGUAUCAUUUGUUCACACGACUUUCAAAUUGUGAAAAAAGAAAUGGCUGUGCACAAAACCACGCUUUGGUCAAUAAAUGAGGUGCAGACGGUCCACUCGUUAGCGAUGAGCGAAUAAAAAAAAAGUCUCUCAGGAAGUGUCUCAGUUGUUGGCUGCACACGGCUACCAACAUACCAACCAACAUAGUAGGGGAAAGUAAAAAACAAACGUAAACUUGUAUAUACAUCAACAUAUAUUUCAAAAUAUUAAACAAUGAUUGUUUUCAUAUAUGUUUUUAUUUUAUUUAUUUUUAAAUUUUAUCCCCUUUUCUCCCAAUUUGGAAUGCCCGAUUCCCACUACUUAGUAGGUCCUAGUGGUGGCGGGGUCACUCACCUCAAUACAAGUGGCGGAGGACAAGUCUCAGUUGCCUCCACUUAUGAGACCGCCAAUCCACACAUCUUAUCACGUGGCUCGUUGUGCAUGACACCGCGGAGACUCCCAACAUGUGGAGGCUCAUUCUUCUCUGCGAACCACAACUUACCAUGCGCCCCAUUGAGAGCAAGAACCCCUAAUCACGAACACGAGGAGGUUACCCCAUGUGACUCUACCCUCCCUAGCAACCGGGCCAAUUUGGUUGCUUAGGAGACUAGGCUGGAGUCACUCAGCAAACCCUGGAUUCGAAAUCGUGACUCCAGGGGUGGUAGUCAGCAUCAAUACUAGCUGAGAUACCCAGGCCCCUGUUUUCAUAUAUGUAACAUAUUUUCCUAAAUCAUCUAAUGUCAUUGAAUCACCUAAAUCAUUGAAAAGGCCAUCUAGCCUAAAUAUAUGCUAUAAAUUAACAAUAGUUUUAUAUAUAUGUUAAUUGCCAUAUAUCAGAUUUCUGUAUUUGAAGGCACUUAAAAUACCUUUUAUCUUACACAGUUAAUAAGUAUAAAAUACUGUAUGUUAUUAGUUCUGUCUUGUCACUGGAUGCCUUGUUAUGUUGUUAACAUUUUGAUUGUAUUUAAGCCCUCAUGUUAGCCAUUGACUCGUGUCAAAUAUCAUUGGUGUAAUGUCAUGUUCAUGAUUAUUGUAUAUGCAUUGUUCAUAGUCAAGUCUAGUCUAUUUUAGUUUAUGUUCUGGUUGUAUUCUGUUUUGUUUUCCUUGUAUUCACGUGUUUGGACACUAGCACUGUAAAUAAAACUGCACUUGGGUUCUCAUACAUCUUAAGCCAGGCAUUAUCGCAUCGAUUGACUGACAGCAUAUUGAACAAAUCCGCCCAAAUUGGUGCCAGUGUUUAACCUUGCGUGACUUUUUUGCUUUAUUCAGUGGUUAC